ACACUCCUACGGGAGGCAGCAGUGGGGAAUUUUGGACAAUGGGCGAAAGCCUGAUCCAGCAAUGCCGCGUGUGUGAAGAAGGCCUUCGGGUUGUAAAGCACUUUUGUCCGGAAAGAAAUCCUUGGCUCUAAUACAGUCGGGGGAUGACGGUACCGGAAGAAUAAGCACCGGCUAACUACGUGCCAGCAGCCGCGGUAAUACGUAGGGUGCGAGCGUUAAUCGGAAUUACUGGGCGUAAAGCGUGCGCAGGCGGUUUGCUAAGACCGAUGUGAAAUCCCCGGGCUCAACCUGGGAACUGCAUUGGUGACUGGCAGGCUAGAGUAUGGCAGAGGGGGGUAGAAUUCCACGUGUAGCAGUGAAAUGCGUAGAGAUGUGGAGGAAUACCGAUGGCGAAGGCAGCCCCCUGGGCCAAUACUGACGCUCAUGCACGAAAGCGUGGGGAGCAAACAGGAUUAGAUACCCCGGUAGUCCCAUG
rnacentral:rRNA from 1 species